AGAAAAAAGCAGAGGCUCCCGCUUCUCGCCUAAGGAAUAAGUGAGUUCCUGGGCAAGGAUAACUGAAAUUAAUUCCGAUAAAAACGGAUUAGUGCGGGCGUCUAGUGAUAGAUGCCCGUUUUUUUCUGCAU
rfam:Lactobacillus agilis DSM 20509 NODE_43, whole genome shotgun sequence.